GGCCGCGCGAGGUGCGCGGGAAGCGCCCCGCGCGCGCCCCUCCCCUUCCCGCCUCUUCCCCUCAGAAGGGUCGCGACGCCCCCGGACGAGGCUGAAGGGGGCCGGGGGCGUCGCCGCCUGGGAAGGGCUGUAGGUGUUCAGGCACACUCUGCCCCGCAUCCCAUCGGCCGUGAGAGGACACCCCCCCCCCCAGCGCUGCGGGGGAAAACGUCACAUGAAAGCAGCGGUAGUUGUGAAGAGGACAACUGAAGGCGACUGCAAGGGAGAA